rnacentral:rRNA from 1 species
UACGGAGGGUGCGAGCGUUGUUCGGAAUCACUGGGCGUAAAGCGCGUGUAGGUGGUUUCUUAAGUCCGGUGUGAAAGCCCGGGGCUCACCCCCGGAAGUGCAUCGGAAACUGGGAAGCUAGAGUACCGGAGAGGAGGGCGGAAUUCCUGGUGUAGCGGUGAAAUGCGUAGAUAUCAGGAGGAACACCGGUGGCGAAGGCGGCCCUCUGGACGGAUACUGACGCUGAGACGCGAAAGCGUGGGGAGCAAACAGG